CUUAAUAUAAUUUAUUUGUUUGUGUGUUUGUAUAAUCAUAUUUUGUAUGAUAUGAAUUUAAUAAAAUAGAUAAUUUUUGUAAGUAUAUUAAAUAAAUCAAGUUUCAUACGCCUUUGUGUAUUUCCUUAUAUCAUAUAUGUAUUUUUUUUUGUAAUCGUGUUUUUACGUGUGAUCAUAUUUGUGUAAUGUUUUAUAAAAAAUAAUUAGUAAAGUAUUUUGAUAAUUGUAUUGAAUUUAUUAUUUUAUUAAUAUGGUCUUUAUUUUUAAACAGUUAUUUUUUAAAAUAUAACAAAGUAUGACGCAAAAUGGAAAUUAUUUUAAAACUAUUUGACAUAUUUUAACAAAGCUCACAUAAGGUUGUGUCGUAUAUAAUUAUAAUUACAUAAUUAUUACACAUAAUACUACAUAUAUUAAUUUGUAUAGCAAUUAAAAAUGAGUUAUGUAAAUCGAAGUCCCUGGCCCAAUUUUAAUGGGUUUUAUAAAUUAAAUGUUCAUGGCCCAAAUGCUUUUAUCCCGACAAAACCUUGUGAGCUUCUACUCUACUGUCUUAAUCACGUUUAUAUUUUGUCGGUGGAUGAUGAAUAAAAAAGUAAAGCUCAUUCGGUUCUUCGAAAGCCGUAGAAGACUGUGGAAGCUGAAUCUGAGUGACUAUGUUCAAUUGAAACCAGAGAAGUUUAAAUCGGCUUUGCUCCUGUCAAGAUCUCAGAUAUCGUUCUCAUUGGAGAAAUUGGAGGCACUGCAGAAGAAGAUGCUGCUGCUUUGAUAAAGAAAGUGGUACUGAGAAGCCUGUUAUUGUGGUAUUGCUGGACUCACAGCACCACUGGUAAACGAUGGAACAAUAAAGUGAAGCUCAUUCGGUUCUUACAAAGCCAUAGAAGACGGUGGAAACUGAAUCUGAGUGACUAUGUUCUAUUGAAACCAGAGAAGUUUAAAUCGGAUUUACUCUUUUCAAGAUCUCAGAGUUGACAGAGUGAUAUCAGUUCCAUAGAUGAAAUUGAUCUUGUAUUGAUGAUUGGUAGGCCUGUAGGAAACACCGGGGCCAUUGAUGGAGAAAUUUUCAAUGUUUCUCCACGUUCCAACAGGUAUGGAGCACCUUAACUUGAAUACGCCAUUCUGACUUGAAUGGUUUGAUGUCAGCCAAAGCCGUUUGUUCCAUGCUUAAAGGUACUUUCUGAAUUUGAUUAAGUUUGUGAAUUCUUCUUUUAAGAAGUGUGGUAACCGUAGACUUCAUGAAAGAUAUUUAUAAAGAGAGGAUGGCGAUGGAAAAGGGAUUAGUUAAGAAAAAAUCUAGUUUUUUAGUUUUUAAAAUUGUUGCAAUAUCUGAGGGAAUAAGGAGUUAGAUAACCAAAUUUCGAAAUUGAGUUUAGAAUAAUUUGUUGGAUUCCUGGAAUGUUCUUGUUUGUUGGAUUAUUAAUUCAAAAAAAAAAAGAUAUGCUCCAUAUUAUUAGGAAACAAUCGACAUAACUAAGGUUAUAUCUUGUUAGCUAUCGUAAAUAUGGUGGUUAAGUC